AACGCAUUAAGUUAUCCGCCUGGGGAGUACGGCCGCAAGGCUAAAACUCAAAUGAAUUGACGGGGACCCGCACAAGCGGUGGAGCAUGUGGUUUAAUUCGAUGCAACGCGAAAAACCUUACCUACAAUUGACAUACUGCGAAUUUUCUAGAGAUAGAUUAGUGCCUUCGGGAACGCAGAUACAGGUGCUGCAUGGCUGUCGUCAGCUCGUGUCGUGAGAUGUUGGGUUAAGUCCUAUAACGAGCGCAACCCUUACCCUUAUUUGCCAGCGGUUCGGCCGGGAACUAUAAGGGAACUGCCGGUAAUAAGCCGGAGGAAGGUGGGGACGACGUCAAGUCAUCAUGGCCCUUACAUGUAGGGCUACACACGUGCUACAAUGGCAUUUACAAUAGGAUGCAAGAUGGCGACAUCAAGCAAAUCCUAAAAAGAUGCCUCAGUUCGGAUUGCACUCUGCAACUCGAGUGCAUGAAGCUGGAAUUACUAGUAAUCGCGGAUCAGCGCGCCGCGGUGAAUACGUUCCCGGGUCUUGUACACACCGCCCGUCACACCAUGGGAGUUGGUUCUACCUUAAGGCAAAGCAUAAAACCUUUGACCACGGUAUAGUCAGCGACUGGGGUGAAGUCGUAACAAGGUAACCGUA
rnacentral:rRNA from 1 species